GGGUCGCUAGCUCAGUUGGUAGAGCAGCUGACUCUUAAUCAGCGGGUCACAGGUUCGAAUCCUGUGCGGCCCA
rnacentral:tRNA from 1 species